UGUAGCUAUCCUGUGAAAGCAUGCAACAGUAUUAUUACAGGAUUGACUCCAUUACAUUGGCUGUCCCUUGUAUCCCUAGGACUCAUUCAUUCCAUAGCUGUUGCCGGUAUCUCUCUCAAAGGUAUUCAUUCUUUAUCUAACCUAAGUAUUUUGGUGGUAAACACAAUUACCACUUGCUCAGCAAGUGUAAAUUGGCGGUCUAUUUUUCUGUGAACAUUGCUUAAACCAUUACAAAUGAUGUCAUUACGUUAAUAAAGUCGGUUUCAUUCUUCACUCACAAGAAAGGAGAAGGAAAAGAUUUCUUUGUGUCCCAGGCCCUGUCAUUAAAACCUUUCCCAAUGUGGACAACAGGUUUAGUAGCCCAGGCACCUUCAGUGUCUCAGCUGAGCGACCAGGGCCUUGCACAUUGCAAAAAUUCCCAUGAUGGCCAACAGAGAGAGCUCGAGCACCACAGACCCGGAGAGGCGGGUUCCUCUGCCCAGGCAGUGAUGGCCAGCAGAAGGCGCACCAUCGGCUUUUCUGACCCAGGGCACCUGAGAGCAGGAAGGGCUUUGAUUGCUCCCAGAGUACUCAGGGCCUCUGCCGCUGCCUGAGUACAGAGAGCAGAGCUGCAUUUCCAGCAGGUUGUGCCGCCUGCCCCAGGGGAGAUCUUGGGAGCUUUGUAGCCACUUGGCAUCUCCUGAGUCGCCAGAGAGAGUUUGUCUUAUUGUACUGAGUGCUGAGGAAUGGGCGCUGGGUGGCUUCCCUGGGCAAGCUGGUUGCUGAGAUGCACAGGCCCUUGCAUUUUCUGGGCUGUUCCCGUGUUUCAUUCCUCCCCUUCCUGGACAGUAUUUGAACAAGACAUAUUUUACUAAAGGUCUUGUGGAUUGCGGAGUCCCACGACAUCACCUCAUCGAUGCAGUCGAUGGUUUGUUCCAGAUUCAGGCUUGUUUCCGGGAAGAAACCCCGACAGAAAUUCAGAAGAACAGGAGCUGCAUUCCGUUAGGACAUGAAUACAUGAAAUGCUCGUCUUGGCAACUCCUAGAAGAAUGAGCUGGGACCCACUUUCUGAGUCCUGCUAGAACCAUUGACGGAGGUCUUGUGGAUUGCGGAGUCCCACGACAUCACCUCAUCGAUGCAGUCGAUGGUUUGUUCCAGAUUCAGGCUUGUUUCCGGGAAGAAACCCCGACAGAAAUUCAGAAGAACAGGAGCUGCAUUCCGUUAGGACAUGAAUACAUGAAAUGCUCGUCUUGGCAACUCCUAGAAGAAUGAGCUGGGACCCACUUUCCGAGUCCUGCUAGAACCAGAGACCAAGAAAAUAAAAACGCCCUGGAAGACAAGUGUAAUGCAUUGAGGUCUGUGAAAGCCACAAAGGAAGCAAAAGUCAAACAGCUGAAAGAGAAAGCACAUAACCUGGAAGAAUUCUAUGAACAAAGAAAAGUGCCUACAAAAAAAGAAGCUGAAAAUGACACUGUGAACUGGCGGCAAAGAAGAAUCAGCUAGCAGCUGCAGAUCUCAAGUAGUGACCAGACUGUGUGGAAACUUUGUCCAUGCUAACAUUCCUCGGGGGUGGUGUCAAUUGUCAUCAUCUGUAGGAAAGCAGUGUGUCGUACAAUGAAUCAUACCCAUCAACGUGGUAGUGCCAUUUCAUGGCCCUCGUCUUUGCAACCCUGGGAAACAUGGCAACAAAUUGAACAAACACGGGAACAGCUGCAGCAGGCAGAGCUCACCUUUAGAUACCAGUUCACGAGAAGAAUGCUCAGGACAACUAGGUAAGUGUUUUCUUGUUUCCUCCUCUUUCUUUGGUGCACAGUGUGGCACCACCUUCCGACUGAAGGUGGAUGUGUUUUUUCUCCCCCAGAUCAAGACUCAGAUCUGGGACAGGGAGAUGGCGGAGCAGGGCAGGGAGGUCGCUUACUUGAAAUACAGGUGUGGUCAUUUGACUUGCGUUUUUAUGGGUGUUUCCAGGGAUGACGCCUGCACUGUUAGUUGUCUAGUAGACGACGUGGUGUUGCAACUCUUAUAGAAGUCCAUUAUUUUUCUGUAUCCAAGACUGGACGGGGAUGGAACCAAAGAGGCUGCCUGAGGGAUACACGAGGCAGAAACCAAUCACUGCAAGAACCCUCCAAGGCGAGGGCAGUCUGGAUCCUGGGGACCUCCUCCGUUAACUGGACGAUUCUGCAUGCCCUACCCUGGAGACGCCCCACCCCCAUGGACUAUUAGGCACAUACACCUCCUGAACCUUGGCAGCCCUGGGGCCACCCGAAACCCCUCCACCUGCAACACUUGGUAAGACGAUCUGAGCACUAGGAGUUGACUUUUAAAACACACUCACCUUAUUUUUGUUGCUGUUAGGUCUUGGGCCAAGGUGCAGAAGCGGUACCACAGACCAUUGUGAUGCAAGGGGCCGUAUGCAGAAAAUCAGACAUAGCGCUUCAGCAGAAAUGCCCUGUACACAGUCCACGUGCUGGGAUCUGUGAGUAACGUAUGUCCAUCUAGUUGUGCCCCCAGCCAUCCAUAGUUGUUCGAUGAGUGAUGAAUACAUCUGAGUCAGGGCUUUUAGGAGUCUUCAUCAAGUUAUAAGGGAUGGUUCUUCAAGUUCUUCUUGGGGAUCACCGGAGGCAUGUGGGACACCCUGUGCAUGUAAUUUGGGAUCACACUGGGACAAAGAGUUUAAGUUGUCGGAAGUAUGAGGGGAGGGUUUUUUGUUUUGUUUUUGACCUCCAAACAGUCUACUCAAGUCAGAAUAAACCUCCAUCCCUUCUAGGGCUUUUUGCAGGUCCAGAAGUAGGUGUCACAACCAAGAGUGACAUCGACACUGACUCUGCCAAAACUGCCAAGAAGCACAAAGUAAAUGCUGUGGCGAUUUUCAGUUCUAAGUCUUUACGGACCGCCACAUCUUUCUGUACAGGACACUCUCCUGCCAUUGUCUCUGGUUUGUGUGUCGUAUGGUCUGUCUGGUGUUUUUGUUGGUUUUUUUUCCCCAAAUGCAAAACCUUUACUGCCGAGUCUACGGGCUUCCCUGUUUCCCAGCUGGCAUCUGUUUGUGGUAACUUGAGCAGCUAAGAGUGCCUCAAGGUAGGGACCAUAGGGCUUUUCUAAUGUGUUCCUGGAAUAAAUCAAGGAGGAUGACACCACAUUCCACUUGGAAGUCUCCUACCUUGCCUCAUUCUUUGUGGAUCUCCUCAUUGUGGAAUCAUUGCUCUUGCUGUGUCUGCCUCUCCUGUUUCCUUCUAUUGAGGAUUUUAACGUGCUCAGAAAAAUCUGUGGGCAUCGUUAAAAUUUGAAAAUGCGAACUGCCUUCACUCCAACUUACAUUUUUGUAUGUGUCCUUUAGAAUGUAAAUUUCAUACCCAUCAGCAUGUGGGUAAACAUGCUGUCCAGAAUCACACUCUGAACUAUAAGAGGUGGCAUGUUUGUGAUAGAAAACAUGCACUGAAACUUCAGUUGUGAAGAGAAAAAAAUCCAAAAUUACCUGUGUGGCAAGUCCCCACGGUGUCCUUCACUUGUGUUCACAUGAGCACGUUCUCUCGUGUCCUGUGUCACAGGUACAGCUAAAACAUGGAAACUUACAGCAGACAUCAAAGUGCAUUUGUGUUAACUUUGUCUUUUAGAAUUUCAGCUCAUUUUUCCAGAGGACACAAUUACCCUGCAAAGUGUACUGCACUUAAGCUGAGAAGUACCUCCGAAGUAAAAUAACUUAGCUGAACCCAACUAACAGGCUAUUUUGUAUGCAAGAGUCCUGGUCCUUUCCCAGGAUUGCCUUGCAGGCUGUGCCCCGCGGACCACCCUUCACCACCAGUCAUGGGCUAUAGGCCACAUCCCCUCCUCCACUUACUCUAUUUGUUAAGAUGACCUGAACUGGCUGAGUGGCUGGACAACUCUUUUGAAAUUGAAGAGGACUGUGCACGGUGACAGACAAUCGUGUUUGCAUAUACAUUUUCAGAAGGUGUCAGAUCUACCUGAAUGCUUUCCCUGCCCAUCCUGUCCCCUCCACUUUGUCCUUCCUACUGUCCCCUAAUCUACGUUUCAUCGUUUUGUCUCUGUGUCAGCGUCUGCUUCUAGGGCUAUCUACUCUCUCUCCCCAUUGAGUGCACACAGUGGGGUUCCUGUACACACAGGAAACAAAGUGCCAGAAAUGGUGGUGAGAGAGGAUAGAAGCAAGAUCACCCUUUGUGCAGGGGAGCCUGAGGGAGUUUUCCGGGGCGAUGGGAACUACCUAUAUCUAGAUUGAUGGGGUGCUUAUGCUCAAUUAUUUUGGAAAUAUUCCCUGACUCCAUGGUGCCUUGGGGUCAGAUAGGUAUCUGUCCUUAGGAAAUGGCUGAGUUCUAAUGGUGGAGAAGGAUGAGGGACCAGCAGUGACUGUGGUAGAGGAGUGAGGGUCAGACCCAUGCCCAGAAUGCCAGGUCUCCACAGACAGCACCACUUGUAGGAGGACUCUGAGGAGCAGAGAUUUCUUGAUCAAACCCAUGAACUACAUAAUCCUGCUGUAGUUUCCUCACUGAGCGAUGGCCAGAACAGAGGCCAGCAGCUGGAGGACACCCUGAUCAUGGCUAAAGUGGAGGAGUAGGCCUGGGGGAUUGAGUCAGGGAAAGGGACUGGCAGAAGGUAGUGACAGGGAGUUUGAGAGACAAAUGGAAGAGAAGAGAAGGGACCCUUCUCUGCUGACUUCACCUACAUUUCUGUGUGACCAAAACGAGACCCUUGUCUCCCAGGGAAGGGAAGAGGGCUGGCAAAAAGACAGAGUGACAUACUCAGCUCAAGUGCCCAGGGUAUCUGCCUUACUCUUGAGGACCUAACACAGGAAGCACGUGCUUUCUGUCAUGAUUGGAACUGCAGCUCGUACCAUUUAGUGAAAAUCAAUCCAACUAUGCAUCCCUCAGCAUUAAAGUACUCCAACAAAAUUAAGUGAACAGACUGAAAGAUACAACACAGGAUAAAGUCCAAAGGUAGAUUGACAGCAAUACUUACGGGAAUACAGUCUAUCCGAAAAGGAGGUAGGUACCCUAGUGCAGCUCUUCAGACACCUGGCCGAUAUCUGAAAACAUAAAAAAAAAAAAAAAGUCCUUACUCCAAAAGCAACAUUAGCGCUAGACACAAAGGGAUCAUGAUUAAGUUUUAGAGAGCAACCAUAUGACUUCAUGGUGCUGUAUCCAUGAGAACAAGUCUCAUCAAAUUAUACCCUUUAAUUUGAGGCUCUUUGUUAGAUGUAAAUUAUACCUCAUUAAAGAGAGUUUCAAAGCACAAAAUACUAGAAGCAAAUGUGGGAACGUUCCUUUCUAAUCCUGAAGUGCAUGGGUGAGAUGAGUCUGCCCAUGUCUCAAAAAUCCAAAAUAAUACACUUAAAAAAUUAAUAAUAGCAGACCCUGAGCUCACGCUGUCCCAUGUUUUCAACUGCAUAACAUCCACAUCCAAGUCCAUGAACCAGCGAGGGAUCCAAGACUGGCACAACAAACUCCACACCUAAGUAGAAGCUGCAGCAGGAAGGUUAGGAAGGUCAGAAAGUUGGAGGCUGGCUGCCUGCAGAAGGAGCAGAGAAAGUGAGCCCUCACACAGGGGAGCUGACACAGGGAAGACUAACCUCCAUAACAUUUGGCAUUAAAACCCAGAGGGGCUGAAUUCCCUUGAGUUUACAUCCUGGUGCUUUGGAGGUCAGCCGACCCAGCACCGGGUGAUCCAGAAGGAUGAGUGAUAGCCACGUCCCUGCCUGUGUAGAGACGCAACGUAAACAUGGCAUUUCACACAAUGCUUAGGCCACAGGAGACACAUGUAUUCAUGCUGAUUCUUGACUCAGCUGGCCUGCCUGGGUCCCACUGACACCACUGAGAGCAAGCAGAGCCCACAACAGACACGCAAUCAGUGCAGACCCCUGCACUGAAAGGAAAAGUAACCCAGACACAACAGCAGGGAGUGAGCAAUACCCAUACGCUAUCCUCCUGAAGGUCCAGGGCCUAUAAAUGGAGACGUGCACUGCUGAGGACUCCAGGACCUCUUUUUCAUACUGUCGUUAAUUUCAAGAUCAAAAGGCACAGCGACUUUCUUAACACAGAGAAAUAGAGCCAGAGAGACAGACAAAAUGGACACACAGAGAUGU